AACCUACCAAAGCCGAUGCAUGUUCAGGCACCACUAGCAUGCGUGACUCUGGAUAGGAACAUUAUCACACUCUGUGUAAGAUGUGCUUUUAACAUAGCUGCACAUCUAAGGGUUGAGUGUGACAUACUU
rnacentral:snoRNA from 1 species